AUGGUCGUCUGCAAAUGCCGCAAGGCGACGAGGGUUUAUUGCUUCGUCCACCAGGUUCCGGUCUGCGGCGAGUGCAUCUGCUUCCCAGAACAUCAAUUAUGCGUGGUGAAAAACUAUGCUGAAUGGGUUGUUAAUUCUGAUUAUGACUGGCCACAACACUGCUCUUUGUGUAAUUUAGUUCUAGAAGCUGCAAGCGAAGAAACUACACGAUUGGGUUGCCUCCAUGUGAUGCACACAAAAUGCUUGAUAUCACAUGUCCAAAGUUUUCCGGCACAAACAGCACCAGCAGGAUUUGUCUGCCCCUCAUGUUCAAUUCCUAUAUGGCCUCCUUCGAGUAUUAAAGAUACAGGCUCCCGCCUCCAUGCUAAACUGAAGGAAGCAGUAGUCCAGACUGGUCUGGAGAAGAAUGUAUUUGGGAAUCAUUUUGUGACAAUGCCUAAAGCUGAUGCCCGCACACCCCCUGCAUUUGCUUCAGACCCCCUUAAGCGUCUAUCAUAUUCUGGUGAAUCUACUGAUGCAAACAUGCUUAACUCUUCGAAAGAUGCAACUUUAUCAUCAGCGGUACUCUCCCAGGGGGAUACAUAUCCUGCUGGGAUGUACUCUUCUGGGACUCUUAGUCACGUGGAACCAGAAAUAGUUGAAAUAGAUGGUCCUAGUACCAUAGCAACAAAGUUCCCAGAGCAGGAGCCCAAUUUCAUCAGAAGUCCAAGCCCGCACGGGCCUAGUGCCACGACAAGAAAAGGUGCUAACUAUGUUGAGAGACAAAAUUCAGAGAUGUCUUAUUAUGCUGAUGAUGAAGAUGCAAACCGCAAAAAGUACACUAAAAGGGGUACAUAUCGUCACAAAUUUUUAAGGAUGCUGCUACCUUUUUGGUCUAGUGCACUGCCAACAUUACCAGUUACAGCACCCCCUAAAAAGGAAAAUGAUGCUCCAGAAGGCCGGUCACGACAUCAGAGGACAUCACGAAUCGAUCCCACAAAGAUCUUACUUGCAAUGGCAAUCAUGGCAUGUAUAGCAACGAUGGGGAUUCUCUACUACCGGUUGUCACAGCGCGGUCUUUCUGAAAACUUUGCCGAUGAUGAGGCUCAGUAG
rnacentral:rRNA from 1 species